AUGACAAGAAAUCUGAGAGAAUCUUCAACAGUUGCUCAGGUAUGUAUAUCUUGGACUGCUUUUGAUUCUACUUUUUUCUUCUGUUUGUGUUUCUUCUUCUUCUUCUGUCUUCCAUUUCCGCUAAUUCAUGUUGGUUUUUCUGGUGCAAACACGUUUUUGAUGUUGUUGCAUGGAUUAUGUGGAUUUGGUGAUGUGCUGAUACGUGAAGAGAAUGAUCCACUAAGAAAUAAACUCAGUGUCGGAGGCUUGCGGAAGCGUAGGUCGAUGUUGUGUUGA